AGAGUUUGAUCCUGGCUCAGGAUGAACGCUAGCGGCAGGCUUAAUACAUGCAAGUCGUGGGGCAGCGCGGGUAGCAAUACCUGGCGGCGACCGGCAAACGGGUGCGGAACACGUACGCAACCUUCCUUUAAGCGGGGAAUAGCCCAGGGAAACUUGGAUUAAUACCCCAUAAGACAGUGGAGUGGCAUCACUCAGCUGUUAAAGCUCCGGCACUUAAAGAUGGGCGUGCGGCUGAUUAGGUAGUUGGCGGGGUAACGGCCCACCAAGCCGACGAUCAGUAACUGGUGUGAGAGCACGACCAGUCACACGGGCACUGAGACACGGGCCCGACUCCUACGGGAGGCAGCAGUAAGGAAUAUUGGUCAAUGGACGCAAGUCUGAACCAGCCAUGCCGCGUGGAGGAUGAAGGCCCUCUGGGUUGUAAACUUCUUUUAUUGGGGAAGAAACCUGACUUUUCUAAGGCAGUUGACGGUACCCGAUGAAUAAGCACCGGCUAACUCCGUGCCAGCAGCCGCGGUAAUACGGAGGGUGCAAGCGUUAUCCGGAUUCACUGGGUUUAAAGGGUGCGUAGGUGGGCAGGUAAGUCAGUGGUGAAAUCUCUGGGCUUAACCCAGAAACUGCCGUUGAUACUAUCUGUCUUGAAUAUAGUGGAGGUGAGCGGAAUAUGUCAUGUAGCGGUGAAAUGCUUAGAUAUGACAUAGAACAUCGAUUGCGAAGGCAGCUCGCUACACUAUCAUUGACACUGAGGCACGAAAGCGUGGGGAUCAAACAGGAUUAGAUACCCUGGUAGUCCACGCCCUAAACGAUGGAUACUCGACAUCAGCGAUACACUGUUGGUGUCUGAGCGAAAGCAUUAAGUAUCCCACCUGGGAAGUACGACCGCAAGGUUGAAACUCAAAGGAAUUGAC
rnacentral:rRNA from 1 species